UGGGGGUUGGCAGCCCAGUGGGCAACAGUUACUUCUCAGAGCUGUUCUCCACUCCUUAUUUGUGUCCUGACUUGAGAAGAGACAGUGGCUUGGGUUCAUCCAAAUUACAGAAGCACGGUGUGGACAGACCAGCACCUGUGUUCUGUGGAGGGCAAGAAGGCAUUUGGGAGAAGUUAUGGCCACUGGUGAACCACCUUGCCAAUCUGAGGACCAGAGUCCACAGCCCAUCUCUCAAGGACAUGCCCUGGAGGUGGUGAUAGCUGAUGAGAUCCCAAGACAGUCAGGCCUGCAGAAAGCAUCUGGCCUUCUGCCUCAGGCCUGUGCUCAGAAGAGGAAGCGAGACUGGUCCUCAGGGUCUGAGGAGGAGCUGCAUGAGGACCUGCUGGGUCACACUGAUGGAGUCCCCAGACAAGCACCCUACUUCAUGCCUCAGUCACCUGCCCACAGGAAGGAGAAGGACUAUGCCCCCUCAGAGUUGGAAUCUGAGGCAGAACAGGAGAAGGAUCAUCAGCGGGAAUCUGACUCAGCUCUGAGCCGGAAGCCCAGUCUCCAACUUCGGUCCACUGGCCACAAGUGGAACAGGGAGUGGUCAUCAAAUUUGGAGGAGGGGGAGGAGAUGGGACGGCCCCGGUACUUUGACUUAGCACCCAGGGAAGUCCACUGUCUCCCACCUCGCAAGAGGUGGAGGGAGUAUCUGUCCCUGUGCAGUGAGGAGCCACAGCAACCAUUAGAACCGCUAAGCCCUGUGCCUUCCACACACACAGGUGUCAGGGCAAAGCCUUGUGGCCUGAAAAAGAAGAUGAAGAUGAAACACCUGUCCUCAGUGCUGCCUGAGCACCACACAGCCUUUACCAGACUGCUGGAGGAUCCUGCUGUCAGAAGAUUCCUGGCCUGGGACGUAAACUUUAGAGUCUCUGAUAAGUACCUGUUGGCCAUGGUUAUUGUGUACUUCAGCCGUGCUGGACUCUUCCCCUGGCAGUACCAGAGGAUCCAUUUCUUCCUGGCCCUGUACCUGGCCAAUGACAUCGAGGAGGAUGACGAGCUUCAGAAACUACACAUGUUCUUCUUCCUCUAUGGGAGGAACAUGGCACGGAUUCCAAAGUUCUACAAACUGCGCCAAGAGUUCAUCUGCUGCAUGGACUGGGAUCUCAGGGUGACAAGAGAGGAGUGUGAGGAGAUCCAAGCUUAUGAUCCUGGGCUGUGGGUGUGGAGGCGAGAUCGCACCUGCACUGUGGGCUCCCUGGAGCCUUGAGGACACUGGCUUGAAGAAGAUCUGUGGGCCUAGGGGAACAAUGAAAUAGAAUCACCAGAGAGCACUUCUUGGAGCUGGGAAGUUACUGGGGAAAAGGAAGAUCUGGUUCUCCAUCACCUUCUAUAUUCUACAUUCCUCGUUCAAGUUUCCCCUGAACUAGAAGGAUCAAACUCAGGUCCUCGUGCUUGUGAGGCAGGUGGUGGAACCACUGACCUAAUUCCGUGGCCCUGUGUGAUGAAGUCUUAAUGCCUUGUGUGGGCUGUUGGAAAACAUGUCAGAGAUGGAAGUACCAAGUAACCUUCACACAGAUCCUAAAGAAAGGACAGGCUUAACAUCAACACGUUGCAGGAAUGGACCAAAGCAAGAGGGUGGAAGUCACACAAAUGUCCCCUUAAGAAUAAAUGGCUAUAGCGGCACAGUUUGUAAUAGCUAAAUCUUGGAAACAACCUA